CAGUCGCCGCGGGAAUACGGAGGGGGCUAGCGUUGUUCGGAAUUACUGGGCGUAAAGCGUACGUAGGCGGCUUUCUAAGUCAGGGGUGAAAGCCUGGAGCUCAACUCCAGAAUUGCCCUUGAGACUGGAUCGCUUGAACGUCGGAGAGGUGAGUGGAGUUCCGAGUGUAGAGGUGAAAUUCGUAGAUAUUCGGAAGAACACCAGUGGCGAAGGCGGCUCACUGGACGACUGUUGACGCUGAGGUACGAAAGCGGGGGGAGCAAACAGGAUUAGAUACCCGCGUAGUCCCUGUCUCUUAUAC
rnacentral:rRNA from 1 species